GCCAGCAGCCAUAUCACCCUGCAAUUCACAACUGGCAACCCACUGAAGCUAAGUAAGUGCGAACCUGGUCAGUGCCUGGAUGGGAGACCUCCUGGGAAAAACUAAGGUUGCUGCUUGAA
rnacentral:rRNA from 1 species